rnacentral:rRNA from 1 species
UAGCCUUGACAUAUUUUAGAACUCCGUAGAGAUACAGAGGUGCCUUCGGGAGCUAAUUUACAGGUGCUGCACGGCUGUCGUCAGCUCGUGUCGUGAGAUGUUGGGUUAAGUCCCGCAACGAGCGCAACCCUCGUCACUAGUUACUAACGGUUCGGCCGAGGACUCUAGUGAGACUGCCUUCGUAAGGAGGAGGAAGGUGAGGACGACGUCAAGUCAUCAUGGCCCUUACGGCUAGGGCAACACACGUGCUACAAUGGCCAGGACAGUGAGACGCGAUACCGUGAGGUGGAGCAAAUCUAUAAACCUGGUCUCAGUUCGGAUUGUAGUCUGCAACUCGACUGCUUGAAGCUGGAAUCACUAGUAAUCGUAAAUCAGCUAUGUUACGGUGAAUACGUUCCCGGGUCU